GAUGAACGCUGGCGGCGUGCCUAAUACAUGCAAGUCGAGCGAACGGACGAGAAGCUUGCUUCUCUGACGUUAGCGGCGGACGGGUGAGUAACACGUGGAUAACCUACCUAUAAGACUGGGAUAACUUCGGGAAACCGGAGCUAAUACCGGAUAAUAUUUUGAACCGCAUGGUUCAAAAGUGAAAGACGGUCUUGCUGUCACUUAUAGAUGGAUCCGCGCUGCAUUAGCUAGUUGGUAAGGUAACGGCUUACCAAGGCAACGAUGCGUAGCCGACCUGAGAGGGUGAGCGGCCACAGUGGAACUGAGACACGGACCAGACUCCUACGGGAGGCAGCAGUAGGGAAUCUUCCGCAAUGGGCGAAAGCCUGACGGAGCAACGCCGCGUGAGUGAUGAAGGUCUUCGGAUCGUAAAACUCUGUUAUUAGGGAAGAACAAAUGUGUAAGUAACUGUGCACGUCUUGACGGUACCUAAUCAGAAAGCCACGGCUAACUACGUG
rnacentral:rRNA from 1 species